GCCUUCGUAGCUCAAUGGAUAGAGCAAGAGCUUUCUAAUCUCUAGGUUGCAGGUUCGACUCCUGUCGAGGGCAC
rnacentral:tRNA from 1 species